UACGUAGGGACCAAGCGUUGUUCGGAUUUACUGGGCGUAAAGGGCGCGUAGGCGGCGUGUCAAGUCAAUUGUGAAAUCUCCGGGCUUAACUCGGAACGGUCAAUUGAUACUGAUGUGCUAGAGUGCAGAAGGGGCAAUCGGAAUUCUUGGUGUAGCGGUGAAAUGCGUAGAUAUCGUAAGGAAGACCAGUGGCGAAGGCGGGUCUCUGGACAGUUCCUGACGCUGAGGCACGAAGGCCAGGGGAGCAAACGGG
rnacentral:rRNA from 1 species